UGUAUCAUAACACAAUGACAUAGUUCUCUGGAUUAGGAUACAGGGAAGGAAGCAUCUAUUACAGACUUGGUUUAAAAAAGUCAGAAAAGGUAUCUGUGAAACUGUUUGGGUUCCAACAUAUACUGCUAAGCCUGGCCGACUGACCCUUACUCAACCUCAGUGAGACUAUAAAGUUUGAGACACAGUAAUUCAUCUUGUGUUCAACACAAGGUUUACCUAGAAAGAUUAAGUUCACUCGCUAAAAAGUUAUAAAGUAACUGAAUGUGAGCAAUUUUGGAUUAACAUGAAACAAUGCUUUUCUUUCAGAACCACUUGGGGAGACAAAAUUAAGUCACAGUGGAAGACAAAAGCCGGGGCAACAGGAUGAAUGCAGCAGAAAGAGGAGCUGACCAGAGAGGAGCCUGCCAUUAAAUCACACAGUCAGUACCUCCUGCUUGACUCCACCGCUCGUCUUUUCUCUGCAACUUAUUUACCUGUGGCCUGACCUCCCGCUGGACCCUCCCUUACACCUCCAUCCCUGAUUACACAACUAUGGAAUCCAUUCCUCUCAAGAUCAAGAGGACCAGCAGUCAGUCAACUACCUGCUUCCUUAACAGGCUUUGACCAUGACCACAGUACGAAAUACGUUUAUAUCACAACCCAAUACAUAUACACAUACUACAUUGGGCUGCCUGGGUGGCUCAACUGGUAGAGCAUGAGACUCAGGGUAGUGAGUUCGAGCCACAUGUUGGACACAGAGAUUACUUAAUAAAAAAGUUUUUAAAUAAUAUCUGUCAUUAUUAAGGGUAGUAUAUUUAAUAUUCUCUAUCCAGUUCUAUUCCAUUUAUAUUUUUAAAAUGUCUGGGUCAUAUAAUGUUAAGUUAAAGAAGCCUCACGUAAAAAGUGCAUACUGUAUGAUUCCACUGAUAAGAAGGUCUGGAACAGCACAACUAAUCUACAGUGACAGACAUAAAAACAGCAGGCAUAUCAGCUGGGAGGGGAGGACAGGAUAGCCUGCUGGAGUGCUAGAAGCGUUCUAUGCAUUGAUCUGCGUGGUGGUUAUACAGGUGCCCAAAUGUGAAAUCCACUGCGCUAUUCAAUUAGUGUUCCAUGUAAGUUCUACUUCAAUUU